AUGUGUGUAGCUCAGAGAUAGAGCACUUGGCCAGCAUGUACAAGACCCUAGGUUCAAAUCCUAGCACUCAAA
rnacentral:tRNA from 1 species